rnacentral:rRNA from 1 species
AACGAACGCUGGCGGCGCGCCUAAUACAUGCAAGUCGAGCGAGAAGGUGUAGCAAUACACUUGUAAAGCGGCGAACGGGUGAGGAAUACAUGGGUAACCUACCCUCGAGUGGGGAAUAACUAGCCGAAAGGUUAGCUAAUACCGCAUACGAUUCCGGGACUUCGGUUCCGGAAGGAAAGCGAUACCGUGGGUAUCGCGCUCCUGGAUGGGCUCAUGUCCUAUCAGCUUGUUGGUGAGGUAACGGCUCACCAAGGCUUCGACGGGUAGCUGGUCUGAGAGGACGAUCAGCCACACUGGCACUGCGACACGGGCCAGACUCCUACGGGAGGCAGCAGUAAGGAAUAUUGCGCAAUGGGCGAAAGCCUGACGCAGCGACGCCGCGUGGGGGAUGAAGGUCUUCGGAUUGUAAACCCCUUUCGGGAGGGAAGAUGGGAUGGGUAACCAUCCGGACGGUACCUCCAGAAGCAGCCACGGCUAACUUCGUGCCAGCAGCCGCUGUAAAAC